rnacentral:rRNA from 1 species
AGCGAACGCUGGCGGCAGGCCUAACACAUGCAAGUCGAACGAACUCUUCGGAGUUAGUGGCGGACGGGUGAGUAACACGUGGGAACGUGCCUUUAGGUUCGGAAUAACUCAGGGAAACUUGUGCUAAUACCGAAUGUGCCCUUCGGGGGAAAGAUUUAUCGCCUUUAGAGCGGCCCGCGUCUGAUUAGCUUGUUGGUGGGGUAAUGGCCCACCAAGGCGACGAUCAGUAGCUGGUCUGAGAGGAUGACCAGCCACAUUGGGACUGAGACACGGCCCAAACUCCUACGGGAGGCAGCAGUGGGGAAUCUUGCGCAAUGGGCGAAAGCCUGACGCAGCCAUGCCGCGUGGAUGAUGAAGGUCUUAGGAUUGUAAAAUCCUUUCACCGGUGAAGAUAAUGUCUGUAGCCGGAGAAGAAGCCCCGGCUAACUUCGUGCCAGCAGCCGCGGUAAGAC